rnacentral:rRNA from 1 species
UAGGGAAUCUUCCGCAAUGGGCGAAAGCCUGACGGAGCAACGCCGCGUGAGUGAUGAAGGUCUUCGGAUCGUAAAACUCUGUUAUUAGGGAAGAACAAAUGUGUAUGUAACUAUGCACGUCUUGACGGUACCUAAUCAGAAAGCCACGGCUAACUACGUGCCAGCAGCCGCGGUAAUACGUUGGUGGCAAGCGUUAUCCGGAAUUAUUGGGCGUAAAGCGCGCGUAGGCGGUUUUUUAAGUCUGAUGUGAAAGCCCACGGGUCAACCGUGGAGGGUCAUUGGAAACUGGAGAACUUGAGUGCAGAAGAGGAAAGUGGAAUUCCAUGUGUAGCGGUGAAAUGCGCAGAGAUAUGGAGGAACACCAGUGGCGAAGGCGACUUUCUGGUCUGUAACUGACGCUGAUGUGCGAAAGCGUGGGGAUCAAACAGG